rnacentral:lncRNA from 1 species
AUUUCUCUGAUGGCCAGUGAUGAUGAGCAUUUUUUCAUAUGUCUUUUGGCUGCAUAAGUGUCUAACUGAUUCUUAAAAACUCAAAAUUCCAAACUCCCUGCCAGUCCCGAUGAGAACUUCCUGGACUGCAGGAAAUGCAGGAAGAGCUUUCUGAGAGAGCAGCACCAGGGAAGGCACCCGACUCACAGCUUGGAGCACUGUGACAUGCUGCCACACAUCACCACAUGCCGCCACACACCACCACACGCCGCCACACACUGGAACCCGAAACACAGACCCUUUGCGGGUGCAGCCCAGGCUGGUAGAUAAGGAGGGCUUGUGUGAAAGAGUGUUUUCCUCCUGCUGAAGGACGAGGGGCCGGCCAGGGGAAGAGAGUUCCAGAAGCAGGGACAGCCUGUGGGGCCCUUGGCAACUGAAAGCCUGUCCUGCCGGAUGGUGUCUCAGAAGCACGUCUUAGUGCGGAGCAUGGGGAGGCUCUGGCCAGGCUGAGCUCUUCAUCCACGGAAGAUGAAGCCUGCAUGGCUCAGGCAGAGGCGAG